rnacentral:tRNA from 1 species
GCCCUCGUAGCUCAGUGGAUAGAGCACGGCUCUCCUAAAGCCGGUGUCGUUGGUUCGAAUCCAAUCGAGGGCA